rnacentral:rRNA from 1 species
CCUACGGGAGGCAGCAGUGAGGAAUAUUGGUCAAUGGACGCAAGUCUGAACCAGCCAUGCCGCGUGCAGGAAGACGGCUCUAUGAGUUGUAAACUGCUUUUGUACGAGGGUAAACGCAGAUACGCGUAUCUGUCUGAAAGUAUCGUACGAAUAAGGAUCGGCUAACUCCGGGCCAGCAGCCGCGGUAAUACGGAGGAUUCAAGCGUUAUCCGGAUUUAUUGGGUUUAAAGGGUGCGUAGGCGGUCGGAUAAGUUAGAGGUGAAAUCCCGAGGCUCAACUUCGGAAUUGCCUCUGAUACUGUUCGUCUAGAGAGUAGUUGCGGUAGGCGGAAUGUAUGGUGUAGCGGUGAAAUGCUUAGAGAUCAUACAGAACACCGAUUGCGAAGGCAGCUUACCAAGCUACUUCUGACGUUGAGGCACGAAAGCGUGGGGAGCAAACAGGAUUAGAUACCCGGGUAGUC